rnacentral:rRNA from 1 species
ACGCACGCUGGCGGCGUGCUUAACACCUGCAAGUCGAACGGAAAGGCCCUGCUUUUGUGGGGUGCUCGAGUGGCGAACGGGUGAGUAACACGUGAGUAACCUGCCCUUGACUUUGGGAUAACUUCAGGAAACUGGGGCUAAUACCGGAUAGGAGCUCCUGCUGCAUGGUGGGGGUUGGAAGGUUUCGGCGGUUGGGGAUGGACUCGCGGCUUAUCAGCUUGUUGGUGGGGUAGUGGCUUACCAAGGCUUUGACGGGUAGCCGGCCUGAGAGGGUGACCGGCCACAUUGGGACUGAGAUACGGCCCAGACUCCUACGGGAGGCAGCAGUGGGGAAUAUUGCACAAUGGGCGGAAGCCUGAUGCAGCAACGCCGCGUGCGGGAUGACGGCCUUCGGGUUGUAAACCGCUUUCGCCUGUGACGAAGCGUGAGUGACGGUAAUGGGUAAAGAAGCACCGGCUAACUACGUG